UUAACUGAAACCAAAAAAGAGGUAUAUUACUGUUAAUAAUAUCAUUGAAUAGAACAUUCCAGUUAAG
rnacentral:tRNA from 1 species